GGGAAGGCCCGAGGGAUGCCUGCCUCCCUCCCUGGCUGACUCAGCAGGGGUGGGGCCUAACCUUUGCUCUUUUAGGGGGUGCAGGAGGAGAAAAGGGACUAUAGGGGCGCAGGGCUCAGCCGGUGAGGCUGCCGACCACAGGCUCGUGAGCACGGGCAAGCUCCAGGUUCAAGGAAGAGCCCGCGACUCUGUACCUAAGGUCGCGGCUCUCCCUCCCCCCUCCCCCGCCUUGCUCCUUCCCAUUUAAGCUGUUGAGAUUCAAGUUAUAUUUUACAGUACUCACUGCUGGCCUCCCCCCGCCCCCGCAAAAGUAAAGCCCACUUUUGGUAGCGUUGGAGCGUUUUUAAGGUGUUUUUCCUCCCCCGAUUUUCUCCCAGGCCUUUUAAGUCUCUGUUUUCUCUCCUCCCCCACCCUGACCCAUCACCAGGUGGGGGCUGCACUGAGCAGCUGUUUCCUGUUGCCCCAGAGGUUGCUGCAAGGGUGGCGUGGUGGUUGGGGGAAAACUGAACCUGAAUAACGCCGAUUCCCACGGCCCCACAGUAGCCUCCCCAGGCGGCUGUUGGCGGCUCCCCAGGCUCCGGCCACGGAGAACACUGAGUAAGAGGCACGACUGUGGUGGGAGGACCGAGGAGGUCUUCGCCCUCGUGGCUUCCAGACUCCGCCGGCUCUUAAACCCGGGCAGUGCCGAGGGAAGGAGACUGUCAGGCCUUUCUGCAGCCAUAGAGAUGGGGCCUCGGGGAGCCGGAACACCGGGAACCUGUUCACGGAGCAGGGCCGCUGCGCUACCCGCAGCCGGAUCGGCCUGGCGUCCCCUCUCCGGCAUCUCCCUUCCCUUCUCGGAGUCGUGACUCUCGCUGCCUCCCCGCCCUGCCUGGUGAGCAGCUCUCUGCCGGGGCCCCGGGAGCGCAGGCGGAGCCCUCCCGGGUCCUCCUGCGAGGACCCACCGCCAUUCCCCACGUCACCGCAGAAGUUUCUCUCUUCUUCCUGGGAUCUGUUCUCUUCCUCCCUCUGGGAGCCUUCCUGGUUCUGGCCCCUAGGAGACGCCACCCGCCUCCCCGCCCCUCCCCCCGCCCCAGCCCGACCCGAGGGCUCGUCCUUCCCGCGGCAGCUCCGGCCCCUUUAAGCGCUCCCUCCGCCCCCCGCGCCGCCGGCCCAGGGCUGGGGGAGGAGGCGCCGCCGCCGCCCGGCUCGGCCACCUGCGCCGCCGCCGCCGCCGCCCGGCCUGCUCCAGGACUCUUCCCGACCCGCAGGGCCCUGCAGAUGCCGCUGGGAAAGUGAUGAUCCAGGCAGGACCCGGCUGCCCCCACAGGACAGAGAGGGAUCAUUAAUCUCAUGAUGUUUCUGCCGAAACCGGUUUGGCUCAGUGGAUAGAGCGUCGGCUUGCGGACUGAAAGGUCCCAGGUUCGAUUCCGGUCAAGGGCAUGUACCUGGGUUGCGGGCACAUCCCCAGUGGGGAGUGUGCAGGAGGCGGCUCAUCGAUGUUUCUCUCUCAUCGAUGUUUCUAACUCUCUAUCUCUCUCCCUUCCUCUCUGUAAAAAAUCAAUAAAAUAUAUUUAAAAAAAAAAAAAA